CGGAGGAUGCAAGCGUUAUCCGGAUUUAUUGGGUUUAAAGGGUGCGUAGGCGGAUGAAUAAGUCAGUGGUGAAAGCCUGCAGCUUAACUGUAGAAUUGCCAUUGAUACUGUUUAUCUUGAGUACAGCUGAGGUGGGCGGAAUAUGACAUGUAGCGGUGAAAUGCUUAGAUAUGUCAUAGAACACCGAUUGCGAAGGCAGCUCACUAAACUGUCACUGACGCUGAGGCACGAAAGCGUGGGGAGCAAACAGGAUUAGAUACCCUGGUAGUCCACGCCCUAAACUAUGAUCACUCGAUGUUGGCGAUACACUGUCAGCGUCUAAGGGAAACCAUUAAGUGAUCCACCUGGGGAGUACGGCCGCAAGACUG
rnacentral:rRNA from 1 species